rnacentral:rRNA from 1 species
GACGAACGCUGGCGGCGUGCUUAACACAUGCAAGCCGAACGGAAAGGCCCCUUUGGGGGUACUCGAGUGGCGAACGGGUGAGUAACACGUGAGUAACCUGCCCUUGACUUCGGGAUAACUUCAGGAAACUGGGGCUAAUACCGGAUAGGAAUCCUUGCUGCAUGGUGGGGGUUGGAAAGCUUCGGCGGUUUUGGAUGGACUCACGGCUUAUCAGCUUGUUGGUGGGGUAGUGGCUUACCAAGGCUUUGACGGGUAGCCGGCCUGAGAGGGCGACCGGCCACAUUGGGACUGAGAUACGGCCCAGACUCCUACGGGAGGCAGCAGUGGGGAAUAUUGCACAAUGGGCGGAAGCCUGAUGCAGCAACGCCGCGUGCGGGAUGACGGCCUUCGGGUUGUAAACCGCUUUCAGCAGGGGCGAAGCUUGUGGUGACGGUACCUGCAGAAGAAGCACCGGCUAACUACGUG